CCCCCCCCCCCCCCCCCCCCCCCCCCCCCCCCCCCCCCCCCCCCCCCCCCCCAGUUUUUCUCUGGGUAGGAAAGGCUUGGCUCCUCCCCUGGCUGGAGCAUCUCCCAUGGGAUGAUGUAAUUUUAUCAGUCCUGCCCUGGGACUCAGUGGCCAUGAACAGGAGAUAUCUCCUGGAGGGAGGAUGGGCUGUGGGAAGAUAAAGAUGAUUGCCCAGCUGGUUUAAAGAUGGCCAUGAGCAGAUAAUGUGUGCCAGGAGAUCAGGGGCACUGCCCCACCUGGUUUAACACACGGGGACAGAACACACAUUGCUGGCCACAUCAACCCAACACAGGGAUAAAGGGAUACAAACCACUCAUUUUUUAAUGGGAAUGAAGGAAUCAUUUUUUGUCCAUAGGAACCAUUCCCAAAGCCACCAGAGUGUGUUGUCCAUGUGCACUCUGGGAGUUUUUGGAGUGGUGGGUGCAGGGCUGGAAGCACCAAAAGGGGUCGUGAGCGGGAUCUCAACAGCAAAAGGGAUCCCAGGGAGGGAGGAGGAUUCCUUGGGAGGAAAGUCUGGAUGUGGCCAGCGAAUAAUCACUGCCCACUCGCCCCAGCCGGGCUCAGAAAUGACACUGAAGUGGGGCAGAGUGUGCUGGAAGGUUGGGACAGGUUGGAAUGUCACUGUCACACCAAUCCCUUGUCGUGGUGCUGCAGGUUCCGCUGGUGUCCCACACUUCCCGCCGUGUCCCGGCCAGCGCCGAGGUGACAGGAGAGGGACAGAGCCUGGGGCUGGAGGUGCUGCUGUCUGAAGGAUCCCCUGAGAGCUUGGCUGUGCCCCCACCACAUCCAGGAGAUCUGCAGGAAAACCAUUCCCUGGAUCUCUCUGAGCCCCUGGAGGAGAGGCUGGAAGGACAACCCCAGCAGGACACCAGCCAGGAAAAUGGGAAUUCCGACAACGGCUCCGCGAUGCCGAGGCACCGAUCCAGGAGAUCUCCCGGGCAGGGGGGACACCCCAUGAGGAUCCCAUUCCAGAGCCAUCCCUGUGAUCCAGGAUCCAGCAGUGCCCCUUCCCUCGAUGCUCCAUCCCCAGCUCAUCCCCCUGGUGCUCCAGGAGCUCGGAAAUUCCCGUUGGGAUCCACGGUGAGCGAGGGAAGUGGAUCCCUAUUUUCCCACCUGGACAAAGACACGAUGAAUAUGGAAUUUUAGGGAUAAAUAUCCAUAAAUA
rnacentral:lncRNA from 1 species